GCCCCAAUCUUCGAGCAGAAAGCAGAGAUUGCCCUGGUGACCAACAAACCCGAGAAAGUGGCUCCUUCACGCCAGGAUAUAUUUCAAGAACAACUGGCAGCCAUCCCAGAAUUCCAGAGCCUGGGUCCUCUGUUCCGGUGCUCCGAGCCCGUCCAGCUCACGGAAGCGGAGACCGAGUACUUUGUGCGCUGCAUCAAACACGUCUUCCCGAACCACAUCGUC